GGCCUGGAGGCCAAAUGGUAAGGCAUCUGGUUUCGGAACAGUUCUCAGAAGAUUGUGCGUUCGAGCCGCAUCCAGGUCG